AGAAAAAAACUCCAGCUGACUCACGCGGACAAUCGACAUUCCACUAGAAAAAAGUUUUAUCGUCAAAGUUAAAGUUAGUGGUGAUUAUCCGUGUAACCUGCAUGUACUUGCUGUGGUAUUUGUCAUUGUGUUUUUAAAAGGAGUUCUGACAUUUUUUCAGAUCUUUGGAAUAAUAAUGGAAUAAGACGAUGAAACCACAGAUGGAUAGCAGAGACAGAUGGUGUGGGAGAGAAGAUGAAGACUGAAAAUUCAGAGAGCAGAUAACCAGACAUCUGAGUGGUCACAGCAUUGUACAGGAUGUCUGUCAAUCAGCGAUGGAGGGCUGUCACCCUCAGCGACAGAAGCCCUUAGCAAAUGGAUGCGUGGAGUAAAGCAGAUCUGCUCCAAACUGCAGUUACGCCCUGGGUAAGAGGAGCGCGUACGUGAUGAAACGGCGUGUAACAGACAAGGCUGUUCCCCACGUCAGCCCUCACCCAUCCUUCACCCAUCCUUCACCCACGGUCCUGCAGUGAGGCUCAGCCCCACAACCCCUGCCUUUGUGUAUGUGCCCCAUUCAGCUGGCCACCCCUAUACGGCCUUCAUCCAUGGCUGUGCUUUAGUCAUUAAGGAACUGGUCAUCCAUGUAAAGUAAUAAUAAGAAUAAGGCUAUGAAUAAUAAUGAUAAUAAUAAUAAUAAUUAUUAUUAUUAUUAUUAUUGUUGUUGUUGUUGUUGUUGUUGUUGCAUUAAGCACUAAAAACAAUAUUAUUAUUAUUAUUAUUAUUAUUAUUGUUAUUAUUAUUAUACUAACAGCAACAAUAAUAAUAAUAAUUAUUUUAUUUUUGCUGUUAAUUUCAAUUACCAGACACAGAGCUGAAGAUGUUAGGUUACAUGUUUGGUUAAAUUGUUGUUGCAUUGUUAUUUUAUACUAAAGUGUUCUGAUUGAAACUGUGACUUAAAAAAUGUAAAAUUGCAGUAAUUUCCAGUGAGGUCAAAAUGAGAUGGGUAAUAUGUUUUUUUUUUUUCUGUAUCUUUGGAGUUUGAUACAAAUUAAAAGAUAAGUACAAUACCGUAAAGUGUAGCAAUCUGUCAAAAAUGUCAUAUUUUUGUUUGUUGGCACUGUGUAUGCUCCACACAGCAUCAUGGUGUCUCUGUACUGUGUGCUUUAGCUCUGAUUUUUGUUUGGAGGGAUCGCAGAUGCCAUAGUGACAUGGUGGAGUUCUAAUUGCACUGCAGAUGUGCCUGCUGUGUGCAGGAGGAAUGCUGUGUGAAUGACAUCGUUU